rnacentral:pre_miRNA from 1 species
AAUAAAUGCAGCCAUAGAUAUCCGUGUUUAGCACUUUGACCAUCCGUCUUAUUUAAAAAAUUUAUUAAAAAUAUUAAAAAAUUAGUCACACAUAAAGUACUAUUCAUGUUUUAUCAUUUAAUAACAAUAAAAAUACUAAUCAUAAUCUUUUUUCAAAUAAGACGAACGGUCAAACGUUGAACAUGAACAGUGCUAAAACUGCACUUAUU